rfam:Danio rerio chromosome 10, GRCz11 reference primary assembly.
UCAAUGUAGUAAUGUAAGUCGCUUUGGAUAAAAGCGUCGGCUAAAUGACUAAAU